GGGAGUUUAGCUCAGCUGGGAGAGCAUCUGCCUUACAAGCAGAGGGUCAGCGGUUCGACCCCGUUAACUCCCA
rnacentral:tRNA from 2 species